rnacentral:rRNA from 1 species
GACGAACGCUGGCGGCGUGCCUAACACAUGCAAGUCGAACGGAAAGGCCCUUCGGGGUAUUCGAGUGGCUAACGGGUGAGUAACUCGUGGGUGAUCUGCCCUCCACUUUGGGAUAAGCCUGGGACACCGGGACUACUACAGAAUAGGACCAUGCGCUUUUUGGUGUGUGGUGGCAAGCUUUUGCGGUGUGAGAUGGGCCCGCGGCCUAUGAGCUUGUUCGGGGAGUAAUGGCUGACCAAGGCGGCGCUUGAUAGCCGGCCUGAGAGUGGGACCAGCGACCCUGGGCCUGAGGUACGCCCCAGACGCGAAUGGGACGCAGCGGGGGGGAAUAUUGCACAAUAGCGGCACGCCUGAUACAACGGCGCCGGGAGAGGAAUGACGGCCUACGGGUUAUAAACCUCUUUCAAUAGAGACAAAGCGCAAGUGACGGUACCUAAAGAAAAAGCCCCGGCUAACUACGUG